GAUGAACGCCGGCGGCGUGCCUAAUACAUGCAAGUCGAGCGAACAGAUAAGGAGCUUGCUCCUUUGACGUUAGCGGCGGACGGGUGAGUAACACGUGGGUAACCUACCUAUAAGACUGGGAUAACUUCGGGAAACCGGAGCUAAUACCGGAUAACAUUUGGAACCGCAUGGUUCUAAAGUGAAAGAUGGUUUUGCUAUCACUUAUAGAUGGACCCGCGCCGUAUUAGCUAGUUGGUAAGGUAACGGCUUACCAAGGCAACGAUACGUAGCCGACCUGAGAGGGUGAUCGGCCACACUGGAACUGAGACACGGUCCAGACUCCUACGGGAGGCAGCAGUAGGGAAUCUUCCGCAAUGGGCGAAAGCCUGACGGAGCAACGCCGCGUGAGUGAUGAAGGGUUUCGGCUCGUAAAACUCUGUUAUUAGGGAAGAACAAACGUGUAAGUAACUGUGCACGUCUUGACGGUACCUAAUCAGAAAGCCACGGCUAACUACGUG
rnacentral:rRNA from 1 species